GUGAGCAACCUGCCCCCGACUCCGGGAUAAGCGGUGGAAACGCCGUCUAAUACCGGAUACGACCGGCCACCUCAUGGUGGCGGGUGGAAAGUUUCUCGGUUGGGGAUGGGCUCGCGGCCUAUCAGCUUGUUGGUGGGGUAAAGGCCUACCAAGGCGAUUACGGGUAGCCGGCCUGAGAGGGCGACCGGCCACACUGGGACUGAGACACGGCCCAGACUCCUGCGGGAGGCAGCAGUGGGGAAUAUUGCGCAAUGGGCGAAAGCCUGACGCAGCGACGCCGCGUGGGGGAUGACGGCCUUCGGGUUGUAAACCUCUUUUACCACCAACGCAGGCUCCCGGUUCUCCGGGGGUUGACGGUAGGUGGGGAAUAAGGACCGGCUAACUACGUGCCAGCAGCCGCGGUAAUACGUAGGGUCCGAGCGUUGUCCGGAAUUAUUGGGCGUAAAGAGCUCGUAGGCGGCGUGUCGCGUCUGCUGUGAAAGACCGGGGCUUAACUCCGGUUCUGCAGUGGAUACGGGCAUGCUAGAGGUAGGUAGGGGAGACUGGAAUUCCUGGUGUAGCGGUGAAAUGCGCAGAUAUCAGGAGGAACAC
rnacentral:rRNA from 1 species